rnacentral:rRNA from 1 species
UACGUAGGUGGCGAGCGUUGUCCGGAUUUACUGGGCGUAAAGGGAGCGUAGGCGGACCUUUAAGUGAGAUGUGAAAUACUCGGGCUCAACUUGAGAGCUGCAUUUCAAACUGGAAGUCUAGAGUGCAGGAGAGGAGAAUGGAAUUCCUAGUGUAGCGGUGAAAUGCGUAGAGAUUAGGAAGAACACCAGUGGCGAAGGCGAUUCUCUGGACUGUAACUGACGCUGAGGCUCGAAAGCGUGGGGAGCAAACAGG